GGCGGCGUGCUUACACAAGCAAGUCGAACGAACCUUCGGGUUAGUGGCGGACGGGUGAGUAACGCGUGAGAAUCUGCCCUCAGGAGGGGGACAACAGCUGGAAACGGCUGCUAAUACCCCAUAUGCCGCGAGGUGAAAUGAAUUUCGCCUGAGGAUGAGCUCGCGUCUGAUUAGCUAGUUGGUGUAGGUAAUGGCUCACCAAGGCAUCGAUCAGUAGCUGGUCUGAGAGGAUGAUCAGCCACACUGGGACUGAGACACGGCCCAGACUCCUACGGGAGGCAGCAGUGGGGAAUUUUCCGCAAUGGGCGAAAGCCUGACGGAGCAACGCCGCGUGAGGGAUGAAGGCCUCUGGGCUGUAAACCUCUUUUAUCAAGGAAGAAGAUCUGACGGUACUUGAUGAAUAAGCCACGGCUAAUUCCGUGCCAGCAGCCGCGGUAAUACGGGAGUGGCAAGCGUUAUCCGGAAUUAUUGGGCGUAAAGCGUCCGCAGGCGGCCCUUCAAGUCUGCUGUUAAAAAGUGGAGCUUAACUCCAUCAUGGCAGUGGAAACUGUUGGGCUUGAGUGUGGUANGGGCAGAGGGAAUUCCCGGUG
rnacentral:rRNA from 1 species